CCCCCUCCAAAGUACCCAAGAUCCCCUGUCCCAGGAAGCUGGUGGCCAUUCCCUCUACUACACAUUAUGCUCCAGGUAAAAAGGCUGUCCUUGCCUUCAUGCUGAAAGAAGGCCUCAAGCUCCUGCUACCAUGGCCCCAGAAGAAAACUGAGCCUCCAGAGGAGCAAAAAGCUGCAGACCCCAGUGGGAAGAAGAGGCCCUCGCUCAGCCAGCCUGCCCCACAGGGCAGGAACUAAAGGAAGCUCAGCCCUCCCAAAAACAACACCCACACAGGUGUGAUCCAAGGAAGCCGAGCAGCCUGGACACAGGGAAU